rnacentral:rRNA from 1 species
UCUGGGAUAAGCGCUGGAAACGGCGUCUAAUACCGGAUACGAGCUGCGAAGGCAUCUUCAGCAGCUGGAAAGAAUUUCGGUCAGGGAUGAGCUCGCGGCCUAUCAGCUUGUUGGUGAGGUAAUGGCUCACCAAGGCGUCGACGGGUAGCCGGCCUGAGAGGGUGACCGGCCACACUGGGACUGAGACACGGCCCAGACUCCUACGGGAGGCAGCAGUGGGGAAUAUUGCACGAAUGGGCGAAAGCUCUGAUGCAGCAACGCCGCGUGAGGGGAUGACGGCUCUUCGGGUUGUAAACCACUUUUAGCGAAGGAAGAAGCGAAAAGUGACGGUACUUGCAGAAAAAGCGCCGGCUAACUACGUGCCAGCAGCCGCGGUGAUACGUAGGGCGCAAGCGUUAUCCGGAAUUAUUGGGCGUAAAGAGCUCGUAGGCGGUCUGUCGCGUCUGCUGUGAAAACCCGAGGCUCAACCUCGGGCCUGCAGUGGGUACGGGCAGACUAGAGUGCGGUAGGGGAGAUUGGAAUUCCUGGUGUAGCGGUGGAAUGCGCAGAUAUCAGGAGGAACACCGAUGGCGAAGGCAGAUCUCUGGGCCGUAACUGACGCUGAGGAGCGAAAGGGUGGGGAGCAAACAGGCUUAGAUACCCUGGUAGUCCACCCCGUAAACGUUGGGAACUAGUUGUGGGGUCCAUUCCACGGAUUCCGUGACGCAGCUAACGCA